rnacentral:rRNA from 1 species
UACAGGGGGUGCAAGCGUUGCUCGGAAUUACUGGGCGUAAAGCGUGCGCAGGCGGUCCAGCAAGUCGGGGGUGAAAACCCGGGGCUCAACCCGGAAUUGCCUCCGAACCUGCUGGACUUGAAUACGAGAGAGGGUCGCGGAAUUCUUGGUGUAGAGGUGAAAUUCGUAGAUAUCAGGAAGAACACCAGUGGCGAAAGCGGCGACCUGGCUCGAUAUUGACGCUCAUGCACGAAAGCGUGGGGAGCAAACAGGAUUAGAACU